AAAUCUAGCACUUUCAGUGUUCGAGUUGUAAUUUGAAGAAGGUAUCUUUGGAGUUGGCCCCCGUCUAUGUUCCUUGGAACAGGACGUCACAGAGGGUGAGAAUCCCGUGCGAUGGGGAGACCAAUUCUAUGUAAAGUUCCUUCGAAGAGUCGAGUUGUUUGGGAAUGCAGCUCUAAGUGGGUGGUAAAUUCCAUCUAAAGCUAAAUAUUGGCGAGAGACCGAUAGCGAACAAGUACAGUGAUGGAAAGAUGAAAAGAACUUUGAAAAGAGAGUGAAAAAGUACGUGAAAUUGUUGAAAGGGAAGGGCUUUUGAUCAGACUUGGUGUUUAGUACUCUCUACUCCUUGUGGGUGGGGCUCUUGCUUUAUACUGGGCCAGCAUCGGUUUGGAUGGCAGGAUAAUAGCAUUGGAAUGUGGCUUCAUUCGUGAAGUGUUAUAGCCUUUGUUGAUACUGCCUAUCUAGACCGAGGACUGCGUCUUUUGACU
rnacentral:rRNA from 1 species